rnacentral:lncRNA from 1 species
GGGCACCAAUGUGUGGCUUCUUCACAUCCCACAGGCCGGACCCCCUGGGCCUCACCUUCCAGUGAGGGAAGAGAGAGGUGACUGCCUUUUCUUUCUCUGCACAGAGCAGCAGGGGAGUCGUGACCCCCAGGGGCUCAGUAGAGCAUGAGCCUGGCCAUUGCCAAGCGGCCCGCCCAUGCGUGCUGUGGUUACACGGUCUUCAUGCUGGCUGGGGAGCCCCGAGAACUCGGGUUUGGUUCGUCCUCCAAACACGUGAACACGUGUUGAGCACUGACUGUGAAUUCGGCAGCUGUGAUGGGGGCUGAACUCAGGGCCAAGGAGCCAGGCUCCACUCCACUGUGACACCAGGUGUGGGGCUCGGUGCAGAGCCACACUUUGAACCUGAGAGAGUGGCUGAGCUGGAUGAUUCUCAAAGUGCGCUCUGCGGACCAGCAGCAGCACCACCAGCAGCAGCAUCACCCGGGAACUCAAAGGAAAUGCAGGUUCUCUGGCCUCUGCCGAAUGCACUGAAUCAGAAUCUGCAUUUUAACAAGAUCCCCAGCUACAACUGCACAAAAGAGCCCGAACGAGAAACACUGGCUGAGCCCAGUCAACCCUGGAACCAGAAGAGAUGAUAAUGCCAUCCAGCCCUGAGAUUUGUUUGGAGGGUGACGCGGCCAAGGAUGACACCCACUGCCCCAGAGGCUGGGGGACUGGCAGGUAUAUCUUAGGGUUUGGGGGUGGGAGUGAAGGUCAUCCUGAGGAGAGUCCUUUUUGAGUGUGUUAAGGUGUCUGUGUCCAUGUGGACGGGCUGUCAGAAUGGGCUGGGGGAUGCGGUCAGGGACCACUCCCAUUCCCAGGGCCUGGGUGUCCUGACCAUCCAUGCUAGGUCUGUUCCACGUUGGCCACACUGUUCCAGGCAAGCGCCUUUGGUCACACGGACUGGUCUCUGAGACUGGUCUGAUGUGUGUACUCUCAGGAGCCUGGACAGGGGCAGUCUCAAUCCAGAAAUGACCUCUUCAAUACUUGGUGUAGUUCCCUGUAUGAAACGCCCAAUAUUAUGAGCCACCCAGGCCUGGGUCACCUGCUGACUGGCUGGAGGAAGUGCAUGGGACCAUGUGAGGUCACGGCAGCCCCAGGGUUUGCAGGUCGUCUGCAUCCUGGCUCCCCCGCUUACAAGCUGUUUGACCUUGGUGAGGUUAGAUCAUCUUCCUAAGCUUCAGUUUCUUCAGCCACACAAUGGGUAUAACACUUACCCUUGAGGGUUACUGCGAUUGUCACACAAGGCAGCAUUUGCAUGGGCCCUGGGCCAUGCUAGACAUUCAUCAGGCACUGAAGCUAUGGGGGAGAGAAGUGAGGGGCCCAGGCUCUGGAGCCAGUGGGUUUAAACUCCACUCUACCACUAACAAGACAUUAUUAAAAACUUCUGUGCGCCUCCAUUUCCUCAUCUGUAACAUGGGGAUAAUAAUAGCACCUGCCUCCUGGCUUGUUGAGAGGAUAUAUGUAGUGCUUACAACAGCACAACACACAUAUAUGGGUACUUCACAAAUACAAAUCCAUUCAAGGAAACCAACCCUGGUGCCCUGGGAUGGCCGUUGGUCAGAGACACAGAAGCCGAAGCCAGCUUAGGACAAGCGGAGGGGCCCAGGCCUGCCCCUCGGUUCCGGGGGCCUCACUUCUGUUCCAGGGCUGUUCAGUUACCUGCUCCUAGGCCUGGGAGGCCCAGUGGACAACAGAGUGACCUCUUCUCCACUGAUUUGAUCUGAAUACAUUCUGCCCCAUGAGGGCCCAAAUGAGGGAACUGGUAUGAUAUUCACAGAGAGGUGACAUCACCCGCUGAAGAUCACACAGCAAGUCCCUGGGCCACCUGGAUCCCGGCCACAGCUCCACCCUGCUACCUCCCUCUCUUAAGUAACACAUUAAUAAGUGUCUUACCCUCAGGCCAUUAUCUGUGUUCCCAGGCCAGGGAACAUUUCUGAAACACAUCAAACAUUGACAAAAAGAGGUGUUUUUCUGUCCCCAGGCCAGGCCCUUCGGCCUCUGUUAACCAGUGAGUGUUCUCUGUUAAUCCUGAGCCCAGCUCCUCCUACACACAAGUACAAACAAGGGCAUUGGGCAUGGGAGAAACCUGUCCACCAGGGCCAGGAGGGGACACGGAAGGUUAAUGGGUCCCCUCCCCCAAAGCAAUGCACACAGCUGGGGCUCAAUAAGUGCUACUGGGUGGUAGGAACAGAGCCAGCUGAGGGCACAGGAAGAGGGAUCUGCUAAGCAGAGGAGGCCUGACCUGGGCUUCAUUGGGUAAAACCAGUCAUCAUAAUAAGUAGCUGGCAUUUCGGGAGCUCUUAGUUAGUUCCAGACACUGCCCUGAGCACUGGACAUGGUCACUCACUAACGUUUCCAUGUUUCAGUAUCUGUGGGGUGCAUAUGUUGCUCUCCCCAGUCUACAGACAGGAAGCUGCAGGCAAGAAAGAUGAAGUCAUUUGCUUAAGUCACACCAUUACCAAGAGGCCGAGCUUGGAUUCACACCCAGCACCCUGGCUCCAGACCCAAGCUCUCAACCACAAUACAAGCCUGUGGAGUGGGAGGGGUGAAAUACAUGAGUGAGGGGUGACUUCUAGGUAUUGGCUUGGGGUGGCUGUCCCUUUGAUGGAUAUGUGGGAGGAGCGCAGGUGUCAGGUGAGGUAUUGGGGAGAAGGUGGAUGAAUUGGGUUUGGCAGGUGUUGAGUUCCAGAUACCUGAGGAUGCUCAGGUGGAGGAGGCAGGAGAGAGGCGGCUUAUGGCUCUGAAGCUGGGUGAUGGGGGCUGGAGCUGCUCACUCCAGAGUCAUCAGCGUAGAAGCGCAGCCUGGGAGACACCUGAGCGAUGAAGGGGCAAGGCCACAGCUAAGGCAGGGGAAUUGAUAUUUAGUGUGCAAGGAUUCAAAAUGACAGCAAGAAAAGAAGUGUUUUAGAGACUAUUACUAUUAUUAUUAUUGAGACAGAGUCUUACUCUGUUGCCCAGGCUGGAGUGCAGGGGUGCAAUCAUAGCUUACUGUAACCUUGAACUCCUGGGCUGAAGUGAUACUCCGGCCUCCGCCUUCCGGGACUCAGCCACCACAACCAGCUAACUUUUAAAUUUUUCUGUAAAGACAGGGUGGGGGAGCCUCCCUAUAUUGCCCAUGCUGGUCUUGAACUCCUGACCUCAAGCAGUCCUCCAGCUUUAGCCUCCCAAAGUGCUGGGAUUACAGGAAUCAGCCACCAAACCUGGCCAAAUGCUAUUUUUAUUUAUUUUAUUUUAUUUAUUUAUUUUUGAGACGGAGUUUUUUUGUUUGUUUGUCUUUUGUUUUCUUUUGAGACAGAGUCUCGCUCUGUCGCCCAGGCUGGAGUAAAGUGGCGUGAUCUUGGCUCACUGCAACCUCCACCCCCUGGGUUCAAGCAAUUUCCUGCCUCAGCCUCCUGAGUAGUUUGGAUUAUGGGCACCUGCCA